rnacentral:rRNA from 1 species
AUUGCCUUAGUAACGGCGAGUGAAGCGGCAACAGCUCAAAUUUGAAAUCUGGACCUAGUCUCGAGUUGUAAUUUGCAGAGGAUGAUUUGGCGCGGUGCCUUCCAAGUUCCCUGGGACGGGACGCCGGAGAGGGUGAGAGCCCCGUCAGGUUGGACACCAAGCCUAUGUAAAUCUCCUUCGACGAGUCGAGUAGUUUGGGAAUGCUGCUCUAAAUGGGAGGUAUAUGUCUUCUAAAGCUAAAUACCGGCCAGAGACCGAUAGCGCACAAGUAGAGUGAUCGAAAGAUGAAAAGCACUUUGGAAAGAGAGUUAAACAGCACGUGAAAUUGUUAAAAGGGAAGCGUUUACGACCAGACUUGUGCCGGUUGAUCAUCCAGCGUUCUCGCUGGUGCACUCUGCCGGCCCAGGCCAGCAUCAGUUCGCCGCGGGGGAUAAAGGCGUCGGGAAUGUAGCUCCCUCGGGAGUGUUAUAGCCCUUCGCGCAAUACCCUGGGGCGGACUGAGGUUCGCGCAUUCGCAAGGAUGCUGGCGUAAUGGUCGUCAACGACCCGUCUUGAAACACGGACCAAGGAGUCGUCUUCGUAUGCGAGUGUUCGGGUGUAAAACCCCUACGCGUAAUGAAAGUGAACGCAGGUGAGAGCUUCGGCGCAUCAUCGACCGAUCCUGAUGUUCUCGGAUGGAUUUGAGUAAGAGCAUACGGGGCCGGACCCGAAAGAAGGUGAACUAUGCCUGUAUAGGGUGAAGCCAGAGGAAACUCUGGUGGAGGCUCGCAGCGGUUCUGACGUGCAAAUCGAUCGUCAAAUAUGGGCAUGGGGGCGAAAGACUAAU